rnacentral:rRNA from 1 species
GAGGGUAGGACGGUACUCGAGUAAGAAGCCGGCCCUAACUACGUCGCAGCAGCCGCGGUAAUACGUAGGGGGCAAGCGUUAUCCGGAUUUACUGGGUGUAAAGGGAGCGUAGACGGUGUAUCAAGUCUGAAGUGAACACCCACGGCUCACAGCUGGGCUUGCUUUGGAAACUGGUAGACUAGAGUACUGGAGAGGUAAGCGGAAUUCCUGGUGUAGUAGUGAAAUGCGUAGAUAU